GUUCCGCUCGCACGUCUUCCUAUUUCCUCCUUCGCCCCUGCUCACUUCCAAUCUAACCAUUUUUUUUCCCUCGCCUUUUCGCUUUUCUCUAUCACUCUCGUGUCGCCCUUCCAAUCACAUGCUGCUAUCCUCUCACCAAAAAACCGACGACCUCCUCUUCGCCAUCAUCGCCGACGAAGACACCCUAGUCGGCUUCCUCCUCGCGGGCAUCGGAAACUCCGAAAAAGACAACAAGAAUUUCUUGGCCGUCGAUUCCAAAACUCCGCGCUCCCAAAUCGAACAAACGUUCAGAAAUUUCACCUCCAGGGCAGACGUCGGCAUCUUGCUUAUUACCCAAGACAUUGCCGAACUCAUUCGGCCGACCGUAGAUAGCUACGAACAACUGGUUCCAAUCAUCGUCGAAAUACCCUCUAAGGGCCGCCCGUACGAUCUGUCGAAAGAUGGCGUCAUGCAGCGCGCCUCCAAACUACUGGGCACAAACUAAAUCUUUUGACGUCUUUCCACUGUUCCCCCAAUCUGUCUCUCCUCUGCUCUACGCGCACCUUCCGGUCAACGGCACCUUUCUGUAAGCACGCAAAAUAAAA